AUAAUUAAUGCGUACAAGUGCUCUUAUCUCGAGAGACUUCAUUAUCCAGUGCUAUUCUCGAUUACAAUCGAAAACGUUAGAAAGCAAUGGAAAUCAAUCCUAUUCAAAUUCUAUACAGCCGAAGCUCUGUUACGCUCUCCCAAAAUCGUGUCCGGGGGAUUAAUGUCGAGCCUAGUGCGUCGAUAUAUCGGUUUCCUGCAAAUGACCUGGUUCGCAAAAGGUUGCAAGGGUCAAUUAAUCACAAUAUCACUAUCAUCCGCUUCGCGUUACCCUCCGCGGCACGUACUGGCAGCUUCGCUUCUAAACGCACUCAUUCAUCACCGGCACCUGAUAUCGGCUAUUUUCGCACACGCAAGCCCGACACACAUUUUAUUUAACUUGCAUUAUUUAACUUCGAUUAAACGAAACGCGGCACGCGUUUAUCCGGCAUUCGAUUCGCUUUUUUGCUCGUAUGAUGAAAGAUGCAUCCGCGAUAUCGAGACGGUGAAGAAGAUAAAUUCGCCAUCUCAGACUUCGAUCGAAGACGACAUGCAACAUCUUAAUCGAAUUCAAAGCUCUUCUUACUGCUACAACAUGACGCGACGGGGAUGCAAAUGUGGGGCAGAUCGAAACUACAAUCAUCCGACAUUGACUGCCUCCUCGUCGGGAGUCGGGGGUAUUUUUAAUCCCUUCCCCCUCCCCCUCUUCCGCGGCCGGGAAGCGGUGGUGACGAGCUUGACGUCAAGCAGGCUAGAGACACGGAUGAUUUGCUCCAGCGUGGCGGUAUAUGUACAACAUACGAUAUACUUUGUCAAUAGAAUGGGAUGCGCCGCCGCUCAGGUGAUCGAUCGGUCACCGCCUUCCUCUCGCGAUCGUCUCCUCUCCCUCCGCGACAUUUUCCCCCUGUCGUGUCUUGGAGGCCGUGCGUUGAUCGAUCGCCGUCUGGCCUUGAGAUCACUCGUCCGCCACGCGGAAUAUCGAUAAUUUUAGUUGCACAUAUAUAAUAAUGCUCCAUUAAAUUAUCGCCAUGGGCACGAGAGAGAGAGCGAGAGAGAGAGAGAGAGAGAAAAGAUUGUCUUAACUCGAGAAGGAAUCGAAGGAGUUAUGCAAUAAAUCAGAGACUGUACACGUGAAAAGGACAUGUAAACGUAUGCGAACGUUAAAUAUAUGCGGUAGAUACGUAUUCCGUUAUUUAAA
rnacentral:lncRNA from 1 species